rnacentral:rRNA from 1 species
GACGAACGCUGGCGGCGUGCCUAAUACAUGCAAGUAGAACGCUGAAGAGAGGAGCUUGCUCUUCUUGGAUGGGUUGCGAACGGGUGAGUAACGCGUAGGUAACCUGCCUUGUAGCGGGGGAUAACUAUUGGAAACGAUAGCUAAUACCGCAUAACAAUGGAUGACACAUGUCAUUUAUUUGAAAGGGGCAAUUGUUCCACUACAAGAUGGACCUGCGUUGUAUUAGCUAGUAGGUGAGGUAAUGGCUCACCUAGGCGACGAUACAUAGCCGACCUGAGAGGGUGAUCGGCCACACUGGGACUGAGACACGGCCCAGACUCCUACGGGAGGCAGCAGUAGGGAAUCUUCGGCAAUGGGGGCAACCCUGACCGAGCAACGCCGCGUGAGUGAAGAAGGUUUUCGGAUCGUAAAGCUCUGUUGUAAGUCAAGAACGGGUGUGAGAGUGGAAAGUUCACACUGUGACGGUAGCUUACCAGAAAGGGACGGCUAACUACGUG